rnacentral:lncRNA from 1 species
UUUGUGUCCUGCAAGGUUACUGAAUUUGUUUAUUAGUUCUGUUUGCAGAUGACAGGAUCUUAUAAGUAGAAAAAUUCUAAAGAUUCCAUUAAAAAAUAAUUGUGCACUGCCAAAAGGUGUCGCUGUUGUUGUUGUUGUUGUUGUUUUUGAGACAGGCUUUUACUCUGUCACCCAGGCUGGAGUGCAGUGGCGUGAUCUCAGCUCACUGCAACCUCCACCUCCUGGGUUCAAGCAAUUCUCCUGUCUCAGCCUCCCAAGUAGCUGGGAUUACAGGCAUGUACCACCACACCUGGCUAAUUUUUGUAUGUUUAGUAGAGUGUAGGUUUCACCAUGUUGGCCAGCUUGGUCUCGAACUCCUAACCUCAAGUGAUCCACCCGCCUUGGCCUCCCAAAGUGCUGGGAUUACAGGCAUGAACCACCAUGCCCUGCAAGAAAAACUUUUAUGCGUUGUUAUUUUUUUAAAUUUCAUUUAGUUGUUUAGGUGUGUUUUCUUGCAUCUCACUGACCUUCUUUAAGAUAAUUAUUUUGAAUUUUUUUCAGACAAUUCAUAGAUAUCCAAUUUUUUGUGGUAGGUUGCUAGGGCUUUGUUAAUUUUCUUUGGUGGUUUCAUGUUUGUCUGAUUUCUUGUUAUUCAAGUAACCUUUUCAUUUGAAAGAGCAAAUACUUCUUCCAGGCCUUAGAAACUGGUUUUGGCAGGUUUGUGUUCUGUUAAGUUCCCUUAACAGUUCCCAGGCAGUACAAGUUCCCAGGCAAAUGAGUUUGCCUAUGGGAUUGUAGCCAAAUGCUUUUGGAGCCAGGUAACAUGACUGCUGCUGGGUCCACAAUGGAGUCCACAGUUGGUGAGCCUACUAUCAGGGGCUCUAGCAGGCGUGGAUCCUGUCUGGGCCCAGGGUGGUCUCUACUGUCUCCAGGACCUUGGUCCAAAGGGCUGGUACUGGGCUGAUGGUCUACUUCAGGUGCACAGGAAUAGGCCUGUUGUCCGGUUUGUGAAUGGGUAUGACUCCUCCAGGUCCCCAGGAGGGCUCUUGCUGGACCACUGGGUGAGACCUUGGGCAGGCAGUACUGCUCCAGUCUGCAGCUGAGAGGGGCGGAAACCAAGUUGCAGGGCUGCUUCAAGGUCUACAACUGAGACAGAAAUAUUCAGGCCUAUCUCUGGUGUCACUGAUGGGCAUGUCUCACAGUGGGUCCCUGGGCAGGCAGCCAUGCUCUCGAUCUGUAGCUAAGUUGGAGUUGAGAUUCAGGGCCUUUUCAGGAUCUGCUAUGGGGACUGAGGUUGGCAAGUAUGACCCUGGGGACUCACAUGGACUUGUCUCCCAGCUAUUCCCUGGCUGGGCAGAACUGCUCUUAGACCUCAGCUGAGGGAGCCUUGGGCUGAAAUUCAGGGUCAUUUCAGGAUUUGCAAUGUGACUGAAGUUGGCAAGGCUGUCCCAGUGGCAUAGAUGGGCAAGUCUCUCAGCAGCUCCAUGUACAGGCAAAAUUGCUCUUGGGUUGCUGCUGAGAGGGUUUGGAGGCAAGAUUAAGGGCCCUUUCUCAUCUGCCUGGGGACUAAAAUCCAAAAUCCUGCCCUAGGGACUCAUAUGGACAUGUCUCUCUCUGGGUCCUUAUGCAAGCAGGACUGAUUGCUUACUGCAGCUGAGAUGGGCUGGAGUUGAGUUAGAUGGUUGUUUCAGGGCCUCAGUUGAGAGCAAGUUCAGUGGGCCUGUCUUCUGAGGUACUACUGUGCAUGACUGCCUCCUGUCAGAGCCCUAGGCAGAUGGUUUUGGUAGCAGGAUCAAGUCCAAAUAGGGCUUUCAACAAACAUGAGGCAGAUGGGGCCAUUUCCAAAUCUGGGGUUAGGACCACCAUCAAUGAGUUUACCACCUGGGUGUGGGUCUACCCUCUCAAAACAACUCUCCUAGGUCUUGGGCUCCACUGGGGUUUUACAACUCCUGCCUAAAUCCCCAGGUUCUCACAAAGGCACUUUUGCCCUUGAAUAGAUGAGAAAUUAUUGUUGCCAUUGGGGAAUGUGAGUGGGGGACUACCUACUCU